rnacentral:rRNA from 1 species
UACGUAGGGUGCAAGCGUUAAUCGGAAUUACUGGGCGUAAAGCGUGCGCAGGCGGUUCGGAAAGAAAGAUGUGAAAUCCCAGAGCUUAACUUUGGAACUGCAUUUUUAACUACCGGGCUAGAGUGUGUCAGAGGGAGGUGGAAUUCCGCGUGUAGCAGUGAAAUGCGUAGAGAUCAGGCGGAACACCGUAGCGAAGGCGGCCAGCCUGGGCCGACCUGACACUGAGGCGCCGAAGGCGUGGGGAGCGAUCCGG